AGCGCCGCGGUGCUGGGGCGUCCUCGGCCGGGCGGGCACCAGAGGUCCGGCCUGGGAGCCCCGCGGUCGCCGGCCUCUGUCCGCCUCCCCGCCGGGCCGUGAGCCCCUUGAGAGCCCAGCCCAUGCCGCUCCUUUCUACGCUGCAAACUUGGCUUGGAGAAAAGUGCCGAGACUCACGGUGCAACGUUUGGCUCAGCAGCAGCUGAAGCUGUGCGCGAGGCAGGGCCAGGCACCGAGGAGCGUGCCCCGAAGACAGACCUUGUGCCCCUGGACCCAAGCGCCCCACGCAGAGGUGCAGUUCCGCGGGCGGGUGCCUGUCGUUCCCCUGAUUUUGACGGAGUGAAGUGAGACAACCAUUUGCGGAUAUGUAGAGAGGCUGCUAGGGAAGCCGGACGGUAGACACGCGGGGAGGACAAAUCCAGGGUACGUGUCGGGGGUGAGACGGGGGUGAGACGGGCUGGGGACAGCAGGACGUGGGGCCGAGGAAGAGCGAGCAGAAAGGGUGGCCCGGGGACGAAGACGUGGAGGGGAAGAGAGGGCUAUUUGGCCCCGCCGCGUGAGCGAGCCGAGGUCAGCCGCGCGGGAGGUGUGAGGAGCGAUCCAGUGCCCGCUUCCGACGGAGACGCCGACCGCUGACCUUGGCACUGUGACAGUUUACGUCUCCCAGGCCCAGUCGGCCGAGCAGAGCUACUUCACUAACUUAAUCCUGGGUGCUGGAAAUGGAACUCCUGAUGGGCAGCAAGUGAUUUUCCUUUCAGCAGUUGGGUGGGAUCCUGCCACUUCCUGUGGUCUCUGGUCCCGUGGGCCACUGUCUUUCCGGUUGCCCUGGAGGGACUGGAUCUCGGGCACUGUGUGCCUCAGCGGAUUCGUCCAGUGGUGAGCACAGCUGCCUUGGUGGAAGGAGGAGGGGCCUGUUAGAGGCGGCUCUCAGGGCCUGACCUGGAAGUGCACACCAUGCUGUGAGCGGCUGUCCUCUGCCCUCCUGUUUCUGCCUUGCUGCUCAUGGACUAAACCUCGAGCCAACAUAAACCUCUCCUCCUUUAAUUUGUGGGUGGAGGGUGUUGCGUCUCAGUGCCAAGGAAAGUGACGGAAACUGGCCGGCUCUCCCUCCAUUAGUAGGUUUCCUUCACACGCCAGUCUCCUUGCCCAGGAGAGCCGGGAUCCACGCACAAGUUUGAGCAUCUUUUCAGACUGACUGAGGCCCAGACUCUCCGCAGCAGGAACAGGGCCGUUCACCACCACAGCUGGCAGGGUAACAAGAGCAGACCAUGGGAGCAGGGUCCCAGAGGUGAGAGUCAGGGUUCUGACAAGAUUCCUCAAAUGAGCUCCCAACAUCGGCAGAAGGAGACUGAGGCCCAGAGGUGGUGGGAAUCCAGCAAGGAGAAUGGACAGGGAACUGCGGGUAUCCCGCUGUCCCGAAGCAGGGAGAAACAUGCAGGGUAUGGGUAUGCUGAGGGCUCACCUGACCCUCUCCUGGUCACUCGUGCCUUCUGGCAACCACGGACCCCUGCGGCUGCACCGAGGGCCUGGUCACAAGCACUGGGGACUCAUGUCCGCAGCUGGCGCCGACAUUAGCUAAGAAUUUGGUGUUUGCUGGGAGAACUCUGGCUUAAUUUUGGAAAUGAAAACUGACAAGCACAAAGGCAAGGUUUUGAAGAGUUCUUUGUACAAUUCCAUAUAAACAAAGGCAUUCUCUACAAAUCCAAGGCCUGCAACGCCUCCAUCAAAGGUGGUUGUUUUUCUGAGUCAGGGCCUCACGGUGUAGCCCAGACUGGCCUUGAACUCACGAUCUGUCUGCCUCUGCCUCAGUGCUAGGGUUACAGGUGUGCACCACGCCUGCCUGCACCAUGGGUUUUUUGGUAGAACUUUUCUCAAACCGUUAGUUUUUCAGUAAAUCAAUUCUGGUAACCCAUGGGCCAGGGCAAGAGGUGAGGCAGACGGGUGGCAGGGCCCUGGCAAACUGUUCAGGUGCUGCUUGCUUGAGCAGAAACACGGGAGGGAAGGGGGGGAACUGCCAUAGGUUCUAUCAUUUUCCAAGUUCCUUGGGAAAAGAAUGGUAAGACAUGUUGCUAUGAGUACAUUUUAGCAUUUUACUCACCAUGUUUUACGAAAAAUACUGAAAUGAUGACAUCUGAAUUUCUAAGACUGAAUAUUCAUAAGUAGAUGAAGGUGGAAACAACCUUGGGAUAAACAAAGUAGCUGGGAAAGACCUGCCGAAGACGCAACUGAAUUUCUACAUAAAAAGUUUGUUUAGGCUGGCGAUUUAGCUCAGUGGUUCUACCAGCUGCCUCGCAAGUGCAAUGCCCCGAGUUCAAUCCUUGGUACCAAAAGAAAAGUGUUUGACCCGACACCCCACAAAGGCUGGGCUACAUGGAACUGGGACUUAUUUUUCAGACCCCUGAGGGCAGAGGAAGGCUACUGAGUAAAAGCAUGAGUGUGCAAGGCGGGGUUCCCAGGGAAGGGCAGGAUGACUGGUUGUUCCCAGCUUUCAGAGCUUUUCACCAAGAGCUCUGGGGAAGGGCAGCAGUGGGGUCCAUCCCCAGGACGUGCACUAGGCUGUGUCCACACAAGCUGCCUAAGUGGUGACCCCUGGCUGGAUGGGACUGGCAGAAACUACAACCCCCCAGGGGUCUGUCAGUGCCUCCACACGGUGCCCCGAAAACAGCAGAUGAGAAAGCAGGCCAAGGGCGAGCACCAGAGGUGCACGGUCCAGACCCAGGCUCAACAUCUAAACAGCUAUCCUGCCCCAGCCGCCAAAAGGCUGCACAGUGCCAGCUGCUGGUGGGAUGUGAUGCCCAGCAUGGUGUCCCAGCUGCCCAGGGCCAGCCUCUGGCCACACCUACAUGCCCACCCAUGACAGGUCAGAGGUCAACCACUCCCAGAUGAGCAGGGGGCAUGGGUUGGCGUACAGCCAGAGGUGCUGCUUUUGCCUCAGUGCGGAAACCCCAUAAAGCCAAAAGUCUGGAGUCUGAGGUCCCAAAGACACCAGCAAGUCCCAGGGGGCCCAUGGAGGAACACUCAGCACGCUGAGUGCUGAGAGGCCAAGCCUGGCUGUAUUUCCACGGGACAGAGUGGUUGACUCAGCUAUGGACAUGUCCCUUCUUUUGGGACAGGACAGGUGAUCUUGCUGUGUAGUUCAGGCUGCCCUUAUACUCAAAGCUACCCUCCUGGCUCAGCCUCCUGAGUGCUGGGGUCACAGACAUGUGCUUUCAUGCCCAGCUUGAAAAGUCCAUUUUAAAGAGUUAAUCUCUGAUAAUAAGGAUGUUUGUACUACAAAAAUACUCUGCAGUCAGAACUAGUAACUGGUAUUCUGCUCAGUGUGGUCCAUCGUGGUCUUUUCUUCCUGCCCGGAACACACCCAUCCAGAGCGAUGGGCUCUGGCGUUCUCUCCUCUGCAGAGGCAGACCCAUGUCCAGCACCAGGCCAGACUCGGGUGUGUGGUGGUACAGCCGGAGGAGGGUGCCUUAGAGCCAGGCUGGUGGGUACCGGGCAGAGGCAGUGUUGUGCCUCUCAGGCACAGGUGGGCUUCCUGAGCUGCCCGCUGAGGUGUUUUCCCUCUGCGCACCCAGAUGGGGGCCAUCUGCUGGGCCCCCAGCUCUAUGGAGCGCAAUUCCUGACCUCAGCAGGAAGCCGGGGCUGCACUGUCUGCCUGCUGGGCCAGGUUCCCUCACCAUCAGGCCCUUGCUAAGGAAGCCAGGAGCCUGCAGCAGCC